rnacentral:tRNA from 1 species
AAGGGAGACCUAAUUCGGGCAUAAGACGAAAAAAGAGUAGUCGAAACCAAGAAUCAAUCCCAAAAGGUCGGAACGAGGUAUGUGGCUUUCAAACUAGGUUCUGGGUUCACACAAGACCUGAAUCAGGAACAAGGGCUAUUAGCUCAGGUGGUUAGAGCGCACCCCUGAUAAGGGUGAGGUCCCUGGUUCGAGUCCAGGAUGGCCCACCUGCACAGGUGGCAAAAACAAAGAAGCGAGGAAUCAGCACCUUAUCUUAUCUAUAUAUAAGAGAGAAUGCUGGCUCUGAGUAAAGAGUCCAGAGGAACCUUGAAAACUGCAUAGAGCUAGGUGAAAAAGCCAAAAAAGAAGACCGCAA